AAUAAGAGGUCGGGCAGGCGGGCAAGCUAGCUCCCUUCUAGUCAAUGGGGCGAAGGCUGGGGACGCCGGCAGAGGAAGCCUAACGUUCUGGGCCCCCGGGCCCAGGCGCAUCCUCCCUCCGCGCUCCCGCUCCCAGGCUGGGCUCGAGUCGGGUCUGACCCCGCAGGCUCGGGCGACCGCCGGCCCCGGCGAGAAGCGCUUCCCCCAGGCUUCUUCCCUCGGGGGCCCAGACCCGGAGAGGAGCGUCUCCUCUGACUCCAGCUUUGAGUCUCCCACGUCCCGCACAACAGGCGCCACCAGCAGGGAUCCCGGUUAGGGAGGCUCACAGAAGACGCGCGAGAAAGGGGGUGAAGGAAAGAGAAAAGGGACGGAGCAAAGGGGCGCAGAGUGAUUUUUCACGGUAAAUAAAACACUGGCACACGCAGAGGGUAAGUUUGGGGAGAGAAUGAGGGGCGAGCGAAAACCCAAGGAAGAGGAGCAGGUGGAGUGGUCCCUCCACGCGCGGGAGCGAGCGGGUCUCCGGCUGGGCGACGCGGUCUAGGGAGCCAGCCGACGCAGCCCAGCUGGCCCGAGCAGGUUCAACCACUGGAGCGCGAGACGGACCGCGCGACCCACCUGACUGAGAAGCGCUGGGCUGGACGGUCCCCGCCGCCACGAGAAGGCUCAUCCAGCCCCACAGUCCUGUCGCCAGCUUCAUUUUUUGGAAGUCUCAGAUCCCGUGCUGACAAUUACAUGUCCAAAUGGCAUAUCCCCUUUCGGGCACGCGGAGGAGAUCCCUCAGCCGGGCGCGCGUGGGGGCGCGAAGGGGGGCUGGUGCGCUCGGUGCACCCGCUCCGAGUCCGCGCCCGCGGGUCCAGGGCCCGGGCCCCAAGAGCAAGAGAGGGUGCGCGUGAGGGUGAGCGCGGGUGGGAGUGUGCUCGAGUGUGUGCGCCGUGCUCCUGGCCGGGGACCGGGCAGCUAUUUCCCUGUGGGAGCCUUCGCGUUCUCGCUCCCUCCUCACUUUCUCACUCUCUCUCUCUCACUGGUUGGUCAACAAUAAAAAGGAAGGGUUCGGAAAAGGGUUUCCAAAAAAAGUUGAUUGCAAAGAGGCGGUAGGUUUCCGGCCUCUCCCCCCAGCCGGUCUCUGUUCAGCUCCCUUUUCAGUUUCCUUGCACCUCCAGUCCAAAUUGGGAGGAAAGGGAGGGGUGGAGGGGGGGAAGCUUCUUGCUUUACCCCCGGUCCUGUCCUUCUUUUUUCCUGUCAGCUUUCCUCACACUUGUCCGGCGGCUG
rnacentral:lncRNA from 1 species